UACAGAGGUCUCAAGCGUUGUUCGGAUUCAUUGGGCGUAAAGGGUGCGUAGGUGGCGCGUUAAGUCAGGUGUGAAAUUUCGGAGCUUAACUCCGAAACUGCAUUUGAUACUGCCGUGCUUGAGGACUGGAGAGGAGACUUGGAAUUUACGGUGUAGCAGUGAAAUGCGUAGAGAUCGUAAGGAAGACCCAGUGGCGAAAGGCGGGGUCUCUGGAC
rnacentral:rRNA from 1 species